GAUGAACGCUAGCUACAGGCUUAACACAUGCAAGUCGAGGGGUAGCAGGGUAGCAAUACCGCUGACGACCGGCGCACGGGUGAGUAACACGUAUCCAACCUUCCCAUAACUCGGGGAUAGCCUUUCGAAAGAAAGAUUAAUACCGGAUGGUACUUUUUCAAGGCAUCUUGAGAAAGUUAAAGAUUUAUUGGUUAUGGAUGGGGAUGCGUUCCAUUAGAUAGUUGGUGAGGUAACGGCUCACCAAGUCUUCGAUGGAUAGGGGUUCUGAGAGGAAGAUCCCCCACAUUGGUACUGAGACACGGACCAAACUCCUACGGGAGGCAGCAGUGAGGAAUAUUGGUCAAUGGGCGAGAGCCUGAACCAGCCAAGUAGCGUGAAGGAUGAAGGUCCUAUGGAUUGUAAACUUCUUUUAUAGUAGAAUAAAGUGAUCCACGUGUGGAUUUUUGUAUGUAUACUAUGAAUAAGGAUCGGCUAACUCCGUGCCAGCCGCCGCGGAAA
rnacentral:rRNA from 1 species